rnacentral:rRNA from 1 species
ACGUAGGCGGCAAGCGUUGUCCGGAAUUAUUGGGCGUAAAGCGUGCGCAGGCGGCUUUGCAAGACAGAUGUGAAAUCCCCGGGCUUAACCUGGGAACUGCAUUUGUGACUGCAUGGCUGGAGUGCGGCAGAGGGGGAUGGAAUUCCGCGUGUAGCAGUGAAAUGCGUAGAUAUGCGGAGGAACACCGAUGGCGAAGGCAGUCCCCUGGGCCUGUACUGACGCUCAUGCACGAAAGCGUGGGGAGCAAACAGGA